CUUCUGCUCUACACUGAGCUUUUAAUUCAACAUCGAGGUCGCAAUCAGCCCCAUAGAUACGAUCUCCCUAGGACUAUUACGCUGUUAUCCCUAAAGUAACUCACUCAAAUUAUCCUUAUCUAAAGGACCUAACCCCACUUUACAUGCCUUCUACAACCUCAGAUUUUACAAAAAAACUACCCCAGUUAAACUCUCUAUUUUAUUUUAAACUCAAACUAAUACUAAAAAUAAAGCUUUUAGGG
rnacentral:rRNA from 2 species